GCAAUUGGAUUGAGAACAAUGUACAACUCUUAUCGAUAAGCCAUUGGAGGGCAAGUCUGGUGCCAGCAGCCGCGGUAAUUCCAGCUCCAAUAGCGUAUAUUAACGUUGUUGCAGUUAAAAAGCUCGUAGUUGAAGUGUGGGUGAUCGCUGUUGUGAGACUUCGGUCUCUCGACAGUAAGUCACCCCCUUCCAGUAUCCAGUAGUGGGUAUUCAGUUACUUACUAUUGUGUGUUGGUCGUUUACUGUGAGAAAAUUAGAGUGUUCAAAGCAGGCGUUUGCUUGAAUAGAUUAGCAUGGAAUAAUAAUUGAAGGCUUUCGUGUUCGAUUUGAUUGGUUUGUUCAUGGAAGCAAGGUUAAAAGGAACAGUUGGGGGUAUUCAUAUUC
rnacentral:rRNA from 1 species